rnacentral:rRNA from 1 species
GGGGAAUAUUGCACAAUGGGCGCAAGCCUGAUGCAGCGACGCCGCGUGGGGGAUGACGGCCUUCGGGUUGUAAACCCCUUUCGCCAGGGACGAAGCGUAAGUGACGGUACCUGGAGAAGAAGCACCGGCCAACUACGUGCCAGCAGCCGCGGUAAUACGUAGGGUGCAAGCGUUGUCCGGAAUUAUUGGGCGUAAAGAGCUCGUAGGCGGUGUGUCACGUCUGCCGUGAAAACCUGCGGCUUAACCGUGGGCGUGCGGUGGAUACGGGCAUCACUUGAGUUCGGUAGGGGAGACUGGAAUUCCUGGUGUAGCGGUGGAAUGCGCAGAUGUCAGGAGGAACACCGGUGGCGAAGGCGGGUCUCUGGGCCGAUACUGACGCUGAGGAGCGAAAGCGUGGGGAGCGAAC